rnacentral:lncRNA from 1 species
AGCACAUUUGAUGGAUGAACAAAUGGACAGGACAGAUAAGAUGGCUAGACACUCAGAAAUAAAUAGAUCCAUUUGCUUGAUAGUGUCAGCAGAUGAUCCACUUUGCUGAGCCAAUACCUUCCUGUUACAGAAGAAUGGAUUCUCUUCUAGUUCCAUAACAAUGGCAGCACCUAUCACCUUGAAGGCUGUAGAGGGCAAAGUGAUGGACAUCUUAGCCAGAUAAUGAAAUCGAGUCUCAGAGUGGUGAAGUGACUUGCAGAAGAUUUCAGCUAAUAGUUCCUAACUGGGCCUCAGAACCACAUCUUCUGUCUCUAGGACCCAAGCUCUUUGUAUAACACCAGAUGGCUUCCUGGUCUCCAGGAGAAGAUCUACUCCAGAAGCUUUGCAAUGUUUCCUUCCUGGAUUAUACAUGUUUUCAAGAGGUCUUCUCAGUGGACCCUCUAUCUGUGUCUGAGACCAGAACACUCAAGGGCCUGUAGGAGUCCUCUCUCCACAGACCCUUGAUUCACAGUUGCUUUCCCAAGAUCCUCACCCAUUUUCACAUCAAGGUCCUGUCCUACAUCAGUGCAACUUCACCAAGGCCACAUUCUGGUCCUUGAGGCAUCUCUCUUGUUGUUAUGACCUUCUCACGCUCCCUGUGCACCCACAAGAUUCUUGGCUGGACAACUAUAUAUCAUAGUCUGGCAAGCCCUGAGAUAUUUCUAAAUUUAGCCUAAUAUUUAUAUUUCUCUUCUAUAUCCUAGAAAUGUCAUUGCAUGUACUAAGCAGCUUUCUGGAGCCCAACUUCAAAUCAGGCAUACACACCUUUCUUGACUUAUGUGGGGGUUACAUCCUGAUAGAUCCAUCAUACAUUGAAAAUAUCAUAAGCUGAAAAUGUAUUUAAUACACUUAACCUACUAAACAUCAUAGCUUAGCCUAACCUACCUUAAAUGUGCUCAGAAAACUUACAUUAGCCUACAGUUGGGCAAAAUCAUCUAACACAAAGCCUAUUUU